UGUUCCCCUGAAGCAGCUCUGAUUCACCACGUUGGUCACACCGUCUUCAGCGUUGUCCAUUAGUUUGAAACUACUGUCAUCUUCUGCAGCGUAUUAGGUCCUGCCGCGUCUCCUUCUGUAUGAGCCUGUCUCACCGUGUUGGAGUCACUGGAUAAAUGGAGACCAAAGCCAAGCUUCUGUGGCCAGCUGUCUGCUUAACCUCCGUACUGAUGGCACCAGCCAUGCAAUGGAGAAUUUGCCCUCAAGAAGUCUUCUCCCAACUGCCUGUCUUUUGCCCUCUGCCUUGCUCAAAGCAUCCCGGUGAGCAUCCUGCUGUCCCACAGAGAUGCUUUCCACUCUCCCAUGGAAGGAUUUCUGAAGCCACGUGUUGAAACAGGCAGAUAUCCUCUUCAGCCAUCCCUGCUCAUCGCGGAGGGGCCAGAGCAGCCGGGCUGUGGGAAA
rnacentral:lncRNA from 1 species